GGGGGGGGGGGCAGCGGUGGACAAACUGACCCAAAAAAAAAUGUGUAAAUAAAGCAACCCCUACCCCCGGAAUGAGGCGUUACCCCUCCGACUUUCUCGAUCAAUCACAGGGGACAGUGGCUUCUUUUGAUAAAAACCCCAAAUUGUCAUUGGGCAGAUGUAAUCAUGUGACAAGCAGCACGGUCUAAUUCCAACCAUGUCCUCAUGAAAGCAAUAGUUUAUGGCACAGAGGUCUCCACGCGACUAUAUCCAGUUUGCUUUAUGAAAAUAAACUGCUUAUUAAAUCCGAAUCCACUCUGAGAGUAAAUCAGCCAGUUUCCUUUUUCUUUUCUUUUUUUUUUCUUUCUUUCUUUUUCUUUUCUUUUUUUUUUUUUUGUCGGGGACAAGAGGAGGAGGAGAUGAAUUACGAAUUUGGGCGAGAAAGUGGUUUCAUCAACAGCCAGCCGUCGCUCGCUGAGUGCCUGACAUCUCUCGCUAACCCUGUCGGUGAUGCAUUUCAAAGUUCAUCAAUCAAGAGCCCGGCGCUUUCACAGUCGACACUGAUUCCUCCUCCUUUUGAGCACGCCAUCCCCGGCCUGAACGCGGGCGUCCACCCACGCCACAGCCGCUCAAAGCAGGCUCUGGGAGGCUGCAGCAGCCCGCUGCAGGCUGCGACCCUGCCCCCGGAGUACCCGUGGAUGAAGGAGAAGAAGAGCAUCAAGAGGAACAACCAGCCUGCUUCUUCUUCUUCUUCCUCCUCCUCCUCUUCUUCUGCUGCUGCUGCUUCUACUGCUACUACGGCGGACUCCUCGCCACUCUACUUCUCCCCCCAAGGUUCACCAGAGGUCCCAGACGCUGCCGGUGCCGGCGGUGGAUCCCGGAGGCUGAGGACCGCGUACACCAACACCCAGCUCCUGGAGCUGGAGAAGGAGUUCCAUUUCAACAAGUACCUGUGCAGACCGAGGCGGGUGGAGAUCGCCGCGCUGCUGGAUUUAACGGAGAAGCAGGUGAAAGUGUGGUUCCAGAACCGGAGGAUGAAGCACAAGAGGCAGACGCACUGCAAGGAGAACCGGGACAGCGAGGGGAAGUACGCCUGCGCGGGCGACGGGCCGGAGGACGAGUACGAGCCGGAGGCGGGCGGCGGCGGCGGUGGCGCGGCCGGGACGCUCCUGGAGAGGGAGAGGUAUUUCCAGCAGAAUACCUUGUGUCACAACGGGCACAAUGGGGACAGCCAGAGCCCGCCUGUCACGCCUUUGAGCAGCAAUGAGAAAAAUCUGAAACAUUUUCCAAACGCGGCUCCCACUGUUCCCAUCUGCGUGUCCACAAUAGGCCCGGACAAUGAUCACUCCCCCGGCCUGGACGCGUCUUUGCAGGAUUUCCACGUCUUCUCGUCCUCCUCCUCGUUCUCACCGAGCUUGUCAGACUGCGCGGAGAGCCCUCUGCCUUUAUCGGCCGAAACUUUUGACCUUUUCUCAGAAACGCUCACGACCAUCGAUCUGCAGAACUUGAGCUAUUGAGACAGUAAUGUGUGGUUCUGGUGUUGAGUUAGUUGUAGCCUCUCACAGAAAAGGUUGAGUUGAAACCUGCUCUUUAAACGUGCCCGUGGUGCUGCUGUGAUUUAUCUGAGCAGGAAAAAAACACCCCGAAACAAAAUGGAAGAUUGAUCGCCUCCGCAUGCUUUACAUCCCGAAAAAAGCAGAAUUUGCAGUGAGAACUGCCUGCGAGGAGUCCCAGGCCAAAAGCUAUGACUUUUCUUGGCUCUCUAAUUAAAUUUUAUUGCCUAUAAAACUCACAGCACUGAGGGUGCUUGUUUAUAGCCUGAUCCGCAAUGUAAUGCAAUCUUUUUGUAUUAAGAAUCCCGCCUG